UAGUACGGCGAGUGAGAGGGAAGAGCCCAAGAUUGAAAGCUGGCGUCUUCGGCGUCCGCAUUGUAAUCACAAGAAGUGUUUUCCGCUUCGGACCAUGCCUAAGUCCCUUGGAAAAGGGCAUCAUAGAGGGUGAUAAUCCCGUACAUGGCAUGGAGCGCCCGAAGCUUUGUGAUACGCUUUCUAAGAGUCGAGUUGUUUGGGAAUGCAGCUCAAAAUGGGUGGUAAAUGCCAUCUAAGGCUAAAUAUUGGGGAGAGACCGAUAGCGAACAAGUACAGUGAUGGAAAGAUGAAAAGAACUUUGAAAAGAGAGUUAAACAGUACGUGAAAUUGCCAAAAGGGAAGGGUAGGAGGUCAGAGAUGCGGCCUGGGAUUCAGCCUUGCUUUUGCUUGGUGUUUUUCCCAGAUUGCAGGCCAACGUCGGUUUUGGGCACUGGAGAAGGGUAGGAGGAACGUGGCACCUCUCGGGGUGUGUUAUAGCCUCCUACUGGAUACAGCGACCGAGACCGAGGACAGCAGCGUACUCGCAAGAGCGGGCCUUCGGGCACCUUUACGCUUAGGGCGUUGGCAUAAUGGCCCUCUACCACCCGUCUUGA
rnacentral:rRNA from 1 species